rnacentral:rRNA from 1 species
CGCGUAGGCGGCCUGAUAAGUAGGGGGUGAAAUCCUGCGGCUUAACCGCAGGGCUGCCUUCUAAACUGUCGGGCUCGAGCACGGUAGAGGCAGAUGGAAUUCCCGGUGUAGCGGUGGAAUGCGUAGAGAUCGGGAAGAACAUCAGUGGCGAAGGCGGUCUGCUGGGCCGUUGCUGACGCUGAGGCGCGACAGCGUGGGGAGCAAACA